CAGCCGCCGCGGUAAUACGUAGGUGGCAAGCGUUGUCCGGAAUUAUUGGGCGUAAAGGGCUCGCAGGCGGUUUCUUAAGUCUGAUGUGAAAGCCCCCGGCUCAACCGGGGAGGGUCAUUGGAAACUGGGAAACUUGAGUGCAGAAGAGGAGAGUGGAAUUCCACGUGUAGCGGUGAAAUGCGUAGAGAUGUGGAGGAGCACCAGUGGCGAAGGCGACUCUCUGGUCUGUAACUGACGCUGAGGAGCGAAAGCGUGGGGAGCGAACAGGAUUAGAGACCCGCGUAGUCCCUGUCUCUUAUAC
rnacentral:rRNA from 1 species